CACGCAGGAGCAGCCCUUAAACACACUGCCGGGUAACCUGUUACCUUUAAAAUGAUCUCAAAUGCAAAAGUACCAGUGAAGACAUAGUCUGCGUAACCUAGCAUCUGGAAGGCAAACAAAGAAGUGCAACUAUUAUUGCUCCAGCUGCUGUGGAGUAUGUGAAGAUCAAGGAAAAUUCAUUACCUUCAACAGGAUCUCAACAGUAAAGAUGGCUGUGAAGGCAUAGUCAAAGUAACCCAGUAUCUGCAAGGCACAACAUGUGGGAGUGAGAAAAGGAAUUCAGACAAACUCUGACAUCUGCAUGCUUACAGGCAGAAACCCCCGAUCCAGUCAGAGACCCAUCCCUCCAGGAAAACCCUGCCAUUCUGAAGCAGAGUCCUGCUAGCCCUUUCUGGGGUCCCUGCUUCUCCUCGGAGCCAUGGAGGCAAGUGGGCCAGCAGCAAGAAGUCUGACCACCAGGAAAGCUGCUCACCAGGAGCUUCUGACCGUAGCACCCUUAUCUGCAAAGGCGAGUUGGUCUUGGCCACUGAUCUUCAUGACAACUAUGAUCUAUGGUUUUGAAAGAACUGAAGAGACCAGAGCUAGAAGGGACUGUGGAGACCACCCAGGCCUAAUCCUUUAACAGAUGUGGCUGCUGGGAGCAGGGAGUGGACACACGCAUAGGCCACGCAGCUAGUCACAGGCACUGCAGAGCAAGGAGUAGGCCUGGCGUAUGCCAGCGAAGAGUCACAGGGGUGAGCUGUUGUAGGUAGAGGAGUCGCCUGGGGGCUGUGUCACAAUAAUGCGAGGACCUCUGUUUCAAGCCCAGUCUCUCUCUUCAGAGGGUAUUCACUUUCCAAACUGUUUCUGGUUUUGGACUUAUGAAUUCUGUGGGACCACUUCUGUGUAAUGGAGUUUCUUGGCCAGGCUAUGGAAGGUGUCUUCCCGUGCACUGCCAGGCCUCAGCCAACUUUUCCUUACUCCUUCCUAGGUCACAGUGGGAAUAUUAACAUGGAAAGCAUCUAGUAGCCCAGAAAGACACUGCAGCCCACAAGUCUACAAGGCAACCUGGCGCCAGGGCUGAAGUUGAAAUUUAAGCUGUUUUUUUCCCUCACUCUGCUUGCAUUCUCUCGCUCUCUUUUUUAAACUAAGAAUUCGGCUAAGGUUAAAAAACAUACAAAACACUGCAGAAUCUAAAAAGCAAUACUCAUACACAUAUGUACAUCUAUUUAAGCAGAACGGUAACAUUUUUGGGUAAGGCAGCAGGGAAAUAAACUUAUGGAGAAGCAGUUAUAAUUAAAAAUAAGACAUGAAACCCCCAUGUAAAUUAAUCCCUUGUCAAUGCGAAUCCUAGACUAGCUCCUGGCCUAGUUUGUCACCUAAUGCUGUUUUUUUCCAAACACUGCCCUUGUGUCCUUUUUUUAUGAUGGAAUGAAAUGACACAGAGGUCUUUCUUCUAUUGGGGCAUCUAGAGCAACUAAACCCUCUCUAACAAAAACCCUAAUCUGUGAGGACAAAUCAAGACAGGCCCAGUGCCUUCCUCUUUAUAUUGACACUAACACGCACCAUGGGGAAAGCACUUUUUCUCUUCAUAUCGGAGUGCGUGUUUCAUAAAUCUGAUAGGUAGGGCUUGCCAGGCUCCAGAAAUGGGAAGCAACAGCAUGAGGCUUGGUUGUCCCAACAGAGUCCUGGAGGCACAGAUCUGCAGGUGUGUCUUAACCCUAAAAUCUCUAACAACCUGGUGCUCAGAAAAAGGUGCCCACCAGCAAGCCAGGGACACCUGAUGCUUGCACACUCGCCAGCCUCCCUCUGCUGGUCGGGUUUCUUGGUAAUAACCUGAAACUGCACGAUAAUAUCUAGG
rnacentral:lncRNA from 10 species